UCGAACGCGGUUGCUCCCGCAAGGGAGUAACUGAGUGGCGAACGGGUGAGUAACACGUGGGUGACCUACCUUCGAGUGGGGGAUAACGUCCCGAAAGGGACGCUAAUACCGCAUAACAUCCUGCCUUUGAACAGGCGGAGAUCAAAGCCGGGGAUCGUAAGACCUGGCGCUUGAUGAGGGGCCCGCGUCUGAUUAGCUAGUUGGUGGGGUAAUGGCUCACCAGGGCGACGAUCAGUAUCCGGCCUGAGAGGGCGGACGGACACACUGGGACUGAGACACGGCCCAGACUCCUACGGGAGGCAGCAGUGGGGAAUUGUUCGCAAUGGGCGCAAGCCUGACGACGCAACGCCGCGUGGAGGAUGAAGGUCUUCGGAUUGUAAACUCCUGUUGCCCGGGACGAAUGGCUCCGACCUAACACGUCGGAGUGUGACGGUACCGGGUGAGGAAGCCCCGGCUAACUCUGUGCCAGCAGCCGCGGUAAUACAGAGGGGGCAAGCGUUG
rnacentral:rRNA from 1 species